rnacentral:rRNA from 1 species
UGCCAGCCGCCGCGGUAAUACGGAGGGGGUUAGCGUUGUUCGGAAUUACUGGGCGUAAAGCGCGCGUAGGCGGAUUGGAAAGUCAGAUGUGAAAUCCCGAGGCUCAACCUCGGAACUGCAUUUGAAACUGGGAGUCUAGAGAUCAGGAGAGGUUAGUGGAAUACCGAGUGUAGAGGUGAAAUUCGUAGAUAUUCGGUGGAACACCAGUGGCGAAGGCGACUAACUGGACUGAUACUGACGCUGAGGUGCGAAAGUGUGGGGAGCAAACAGGAUUAGAUA